rnacentral:rRNA from 1 species
CCUACGGGUGGCAGCAGUGAGGAAUAUUGGUCAAUGGACGAGAGUCUGAACCAGCCAAGUAGCGUGAAGGAUGACUGCCCUAUGGGUUGUAAACUUCUUUUAUAAAGGAAUAAAAUUAGGCACGUGUGCUUUUUUGUAUGUACUUUAUGAAUAAGGAUCGGCUAACUCCGUGCCAGCAGCCGCGGUAAUACGGAGGAUCCGAGCGUUAUCCGGAUUUAUUGGGUUUAAAGGGAGCGUAGAUGGAUGGUUAAGUCAGUUGUGAAAGUUUGCGGCUCAACCGUAAAAUUGCAGUUGAAACUGGCAGUCUUGAGUACAGUAGAGGUGGGCGGAAUUCGUGGUGGAGCGGUGAAAUGCUUAGAUAUCACGAAGAACUCCGAUUGCGAAGGCAGCUUACUGGACUGCAACUGACACUGAGGCUCGAAAGUGUGGGUAUCAAACAGGAUUAGAUACCCUUGUAGUC